rnacentral:rRNA from 1 species
CGAAAGCCUGACGGAGCAAUACCGCGUGAAGGAUGACGGCCUAUGGGUUGUAAACUUCUUUUCUCAGAGAAGAAUUUUGACGGUAUCUGAGGAAUAAGCAUCGGCUAACUCUGUGCCAGCAGCCGCGGUAAGACAGAGGAUGCAAGCGUUAUCCGGAUUAAUUGGGCGUAAAGCGUCUGUAGGUGGUUUAUCAAGUCUUUUGUCAAAGAUCAGGGCCUAACCCUGGGCAGGCAGAAGAAACUAAUAAACUUGAGUUCGGUAGGGGCAGAGGGAAUUCCCGGUGGAGCGGUGAAAUGCGUAGAGAUCGGGAGGAAC